rnacentral:rRNA from 1 species
GUGAGCGGCAGACGGGUAAGUAACGCGUGGGAACGUGCCCUUAGGUUCGGAAUAGCCCGUGGAAACGAGGAGUAAUGCCGAAUGAGCCCUACGGGGGAAAGAUUUAUCGCCGAAGGAUCGGCCCGCGUUAGAUUAGGUAGUUGGUGAGGUAACGGCUCACCAAGCCGACGAUCUAUAGCUGGUUUGAGAGGAUGAUCAGCCACACUGGGACUGAGACACGGUCCAGACUCCUACGGGAGGCAGCAGUGGGGAAUCUUGGACAAUGGGCGAAAGCCUGAUCCAGCCAUUCCGCGUGGAUGACGAAGGCCUUAGGGUUGUAAAAUCCUUUCAGCAGGGAAGAUAAUGACGGUACCUGCAGAAGAAGCCCCGGCUAACUCCGUGCCAGCAGCCGCGGUAAUACGGAGGGGGCUAGCGUUGUUCGGAAUUACUGGGCGUAAAGCGCGCGUAGGCGGAUCAGUCAGUCAGAGGUGAAAUCCCGGCGCUCAACGUCGGAACUGCCUUUGAUACUGCUGAUCUGGAGUUCACGAGAGGUGUGUGGAAUUCCGAGUGUAGAGGUGAAAUUCGUAGAUAUUCGGAGGACACCAGAGGCGAAGGCGACACACUGGCGUGAUACUGACGCUGAGGCGCGAAAGCGUGGGGAGCAAACAAGGAUUUAGGAUAACCCUGGUAGUCCACGCCGUAAACGAUGAGAGCUAGUUGUCGGGCGGCAUGCCGUUCGGUGACGCAGCUAACGCAUUAAGCUCUCCGCCUGGGGAGUACGGCCGCAAGGUUAAAACUCAAAGAAAUUGACGGGGGCCCGCACAAGCGGUGGAGCAUGUGGUUUAAUUCGAAGCAACGCGAAGAACCUACUGCGCUGACAUCCUGUCGCGAUUUCCGGAGACGGAUUUCUUCAGUUAGGCUGGACCAGUGACAGGUGCUGCAUGCUGUCGUCAGCUCGUGUCGUGAGAUGUUGGGUUAAGUCCCGCAACGAG